CUAAUGAAGGUCAAGCACACGGCGUAAAGCGUAUUAGAAGAAACAAGAAAAUAAAGUUAAAUCUUAUACAAGCUGUUUAAAGCUCAAGAUAAGACAUAAAUAACCUACGAAAGUGACUUUAAUAAUCCUAAACAUACGCUAGCUAGGGUACAAACUGAGAUUAGAUACCUCACUAUGCCUAGCCCUAAACUUUGAUAGCUACCUUUACAAAGCUAUCCGCCAGAGAACUACUAGCCAGAGCUUAAAACUUUAAGGACUUGGCGGUGCUUUAUAUCCACCUAGGGGAGCCUGUCUCGUAACCGAUGAACCCCGAUAUACCUUACCGUCACUUGCUAAUUCAGUCCAUAUACCACCAUCUUCAGCAAACCCCUAUAGGGCACAAAAGUGAGCUUAACCAUAACCGAUGAAAAAGUUAGGCCGAGGUGUCGCCUACGUGACGGUCAAAGAUGGGCUACAUUUUCUAUUAUAGAACAGAUAAACGGAUAUCACCCUGAAACAGUGAUUGAAGGCGAAUUUAGUAGUAAACUAAGAAUAGAGAGCUUAAUUGAACUAGGCCAUGAAGCGCGUACACACCGCCCGUCACUCUCCUCAAGUACUUCCAUAUCAGACAACCAUUUACGGAUUAAAACAAAUACAAGAGGAGACAAGUCGUAACAAGGUAAGCGUACUGGAAAGUGUGCUUGGGUAACUCAAAGU
rnacentral:ncRNA from 1 species